AAUAACAUUUCAGGAAAUAAAGGCUAAACCUGAGAACUGUAGUAAUUUGGAGAAUGCUUUAGUGGGUCUAUAUGGUGAGACAUGCCCAACACGUCAUGAUGCAAAUCAUGCCAUGAAUGUAAAAGCUGAGGCAGUAUCAGAUGCAGAAGAGGAAGAGGAUCCUGUCCCACUAACAUUUCCAGAAAUAAAGGCUGAACCUGAGACAGAAAGGUGACUGAACAUUAGAUGCAAAGAAUGUGUAAAAGGUGUAGAAAGCAAUAGUGAAGAACUGGUGUUGGCAACACAUCCUAAUACAAGUGUAUUGACACAAUUGUGGUGAAAUGGAAUAUACAAUUGGAAUACAGCAUAGUGGACAGUU